GAUGAACGCUGGCGGCGUGCUUAACACAUGCAAGUCGAACGGAAAGGCUCCUGCUUGCAGGUGUACUCGAGUGGCGAACGGGUGAGUAACACGUGGGUGAUCUGCCCUGCACUUCGGGAUAAGCCUGGGAAACUGGGUCUAAUACCGGAUAGGACGAUGGUUUGGAUGCCAUUGUGGAAAGUUUUUCGGUGUGGGAUGAGCUCGCGGCCUAUCAGCUUGUUGGUGGGGUAAUGGCCUACCAAGGCGUCGACGGGUAGCCGGCCGGAGAGGGUGAACGGCCACACGGGAACGGAGAGACGGUCCAGACGCCUACGGGAGGCAGCAGUGGGGAAGAUUGGACAAUGGGCGCAAUCGUGAUCCAGCCCGACCGCGUGGGUGAAGAAGGCCUUCGGGUCGGAAAGCCGUUUUGUGGGGAAAGAAAAGCAGCAGGUGAAUACCCCGCUGUUCUGACGGUACCCAAAGAAUAAGCACGGGCUAACUUCGUG
rnacentral:rRNA from 1 species